rnacentral:rRNA from 1 species
UACGAAGGGGGCUAGCGUUGUUCGGAAUCACUGGGCGUAAAGCGCACGCAGGCGGAUUGAUAAGUCAGGGGUGAAAUCCCGGGGCUCAACCUCGGAAUUGCCUUUGAUACUGUCUGUCUUGAGUCCGGGAGAGGUGAGUGGAAUUCCUAGUGUAGAGGUGAAAUUCGUAGAUAUCGGGAGGAACACCGGUGGCGAAGGCGGUUCUCUGGGCCUGUACUGACGCUGAGGAGCGAAAGCGUGGGGAGCGAACAGG